CACUGCCUCGCUGCCUCAUUUUAUUUUUUUUAAUUUGAUCUACUAGUGGUCUAUAGUGGUCGACGGUGGCGAUGGCAGUUUGUGUGUGGGAUGGCACGAGUGAUGUGAUCUGAUAGUUUGUUUUCCAUUGUUGUGGUGGUUGGUUUCUGUCAAUGUGUUGGUGGUUUUGUGUUGCAACGGUGAGGGGUGGUCGGUGGUGUUGUGCUUGCUGUGGUGGUUUUGCCCGACGAUGGUGUUGCUAUCGGUGGUGUUGGUGGUUCUAGCAACGAUCGUGGCAGUGUUGGUGAUGGUCACAAAUUAAAUUGGUUAAUUGAGACCAUUAAAUUGAUUAAUCUGUGACCAAUGAAAAAUAUAAAUUUUGACAAAGAAAUAAUGUGUGACCUAAAAAAAUAUUUAUUUUAUGAUUGUCUAAUAAAUUGUGACCUAUAAUAUUUAUGAUCU
rnacentral:lncRNA from 1 species